GACGAACGCUGGCGGCGUGCUUAACACAUGCAAGUCGAACGGAAAGGCCCUGCUUUUGUGGGGUGCUCGAGUGGCGAACGGGUGAGUAACACGUGAGUAACCUGCCCUUGACUUUGGGAUAACUUCAGGAAACUGGGGCUAAUACCGGAUAGGAGCUCCUGCUGCAUGGUGGGGGUUGGAAAGUUUCGGCGGUUGGGGAUGGACUCGCGGCUUAUCAGCGUGUUGGUGGGGUAGUGGCUUACCAAGGCUUUGACGGGUAGCCGGCCUGAGAGGGUGACCGGCCACAUUGGGACUGAGAUACGGCCCAGACUCCUACGGGAGGCAGCAGUGGGGAAUAUUGCACAAUGGGCGGAAGCCUGAUGCAGCAACGCAGCGUGCGGGAUGACGGCCUUCGGGUUGUAAACCGCUUUCGCCUGUGACGAAGCGUGAGUGACGGUAAUGGGUAAAGAAGCACCGGCUAACUACGUG
rnacentral:rRNA from 1 species